rnacentral:lncRNA from 1 species
AUGAAGUGGAGGCCUAGGACCUCAGCAAUGGGCAAGAAAGUACAGGGGGAAAUGGGUUUUCUCCCUGCGCCUCUGCCUGUCCCUGUGCCUUGCCUUACGUCCCUGGACUCCCUGGUUCAUCUGCAUCCCACCAGCAUCCUGCUCCUGGGGGUCCUCCAUCCCAUAUAUACCUGGAUAAAGCAUUCAUAUUCCUCCUUGGACACUUGUGCCUGCAUUCUAUUUGCACAAGCAUUCACAGGUAAUCUGUUCAGUCUAGUUGGUCUCUUGCUUUGCCUAUCUUGUUUCUUGGCCAGUGGGAUUGGCUAUUCUUGUACCUCAGAGAGAUUGCCUUGACCUCCUCUGCCUCCUCUGCCCUUUUGAGCAACCCCUCAAUGGAGCCAGUCUACCAAGAUCCCAAAGUAGCUAAAGUCUGCCCUCCUGAAAUCUAGUAUGGUUUUCUACUGCUUGUCUUCUUCAUUGCCCUCUGGUGUUUAAAUUCAACUCAUGGUCACUGCAGACUAAACUCCCCAUGACUGUCACUGGUUGGACAAUGAGAUUUUCUUUGUUCAUGAGUAGCAAGUUCAGCAGAACAUCUUUCCCAGUCAGCCUAUCACACCUACACCACAAAAUUAUCACUUAUAUUCUGUCUUGUUAUCCUCUGAAGACAUUGGAGUGAUUGAAGUCCCCCAUGAUAGUCCAAGCUUGCAGCUGCGAGGAUCUUUCUAGUUAUUAAAGGCGUGUCUAUCUUCUCCCCCUACUUGUACAAUCUCUAGCAAAUGCUAGCUACAGCAUUCCCUUGUUAUCCUCUGCUCUGAUCUUGUCCUAUAAAUUUUCAAUACAUCUCUGCAUGUGAGCUACUCCUUUGUGUAGAGUACAACCUCAGUGCUCAUCUUCUCAGUCUGUCUUUCCUAAAGUACUUCUACCUAGCCAGUGCAGUUCUCCAUUUGCAAACUACCUACCAUGCCUUUGUAAACCCAGUUAUUACAUACUGCUGGGAUUGUACAUGAUUUUUAGCCCCAAUGCCUGUUUCCCAGGCAGUGUUUCCUAGGAAUUAAUUUUUAGACAUGAGGUGAAACCCUCUUUUGCUCUGCUCUCUCAGGGAAGUAUGGGAACCUCUCCUGUCACAAUGUUCUAGAUACAUCUAACCCCUGCUUCCCCCCUUAAAAAAGCAAGGAGACAAAUCCCUCAUGGAAACAAGUAUAAGGAUAACAAGCUUGUUAGUGCGGAUGCUUUUGUACAACUUUAUCAGACGCAUCCCAUCUCUACCUAGUAACUGUUCCUUGUUCCUUGAAGAGGUAUUAGAAAUCUACCCCCUGUGAGGAGCACCAACCCCAUCAGCAGACAAUGAUUUAUG